UACGUAGGUGGCAAGCGUUGUCCGGAUUUAUUGGGUUUAAAGGGCGCGUAGGCGGCCGCUUGCGUCGGAUGUGAAAGCCCGGGGCUCAACCCCGGAACGGCAUCCGAUACGGGGCGGCUCGAGACCGAGAGAGGUGAGUGGAAUACCCAGUGUAGAGGUGAAAUUCGUAGAUAUUGGGUGGAACACCGGUGGCGAAAGCGGCUCACUGGCUCGGUUCUGGCGCUGAGGCGCGAAAGCGUGGGGAGCAAACAGG
rnacentral:rRNA from 1 species